rnacentral:rRNA from 1 species
GUGAGUCAUCGAAUCUUUGAACGCACCUUGCGCUCCUUGGUAUUCCGAGGAGCAUGCCUGUUUGAGUGUCAUAAACCUCUCAAACCCAAGUUUUGGAUUUAUCCUUGCUUGAGUUUGGAUUUGGGUGUUUGCCAGUGAUGAACUGACUCACCUUAAAAGUAUUAGCUAGAUCUGUCUUUGACUGGUUUGACUUGGCAUAAUAAGUAUUUUGCUAAGGACAUCUUCGGAUGGCCAGGACUUGACUUUUGUCUGCUUACUAAACCUUACUUUAAGUGCAUCUCUGGUGUUACUUAUAGUAUUACUUUGACAUAUGGCCUCAAAUCAGGUAGGACUACCCGCUGAACUUAA